GAACAGAAAAUGAAACUUGAAGCAUAGGGCAGAAACUGGGGGUCACAAGAAGGUGGUAUUACAGUUUUUCAAAAUUAGCUUAGCAUUUGUGAUAUUUGCUAGGCAAACAAACUUUGGGUAUUAAAUCAACAAUAUAUUGACAAUUACACACAAUUCAAAUGCCACUGCCUCUAUCAGACUUCAGCAGUGUUGUAAAUAGGCUCACAUUAAACACUCUUAUUGCUGAUGUUAUCAUAAUUUUGAUUUAGUUCCUACAGAUGGUUUUUAGCUUUUAUCUUACAUUCCCAAAUAAUCACUUUGUGCUGUGAUUUCAUUUUUAUUGUAGGUAUGAGUUCAUAAUUCCUGACCAUAAAGAUAAAUUCAGGGAUAUUUUAUGGUACUUUACAGUUUGUAAAGAGCUUUCAUGUAUAUGUUCUCAUUUAAUCCCAUGGCUUUAUAGGGUGGACAGAAAAUGGAUUCUUGGUUCCACUUCACAGAUGGAAAAUCAAGGUUCAGAUCACUUAAGAAGCUGUCUAAUGAAUUAGCAAAUGUGAAUAAUCACAGGAAUACCUAUUUGAAGAACUUGGGCUGAAGCCUAAUGAUUAUCUUGCUGCCACCAUGAGAGCUGUUCCUUACCCUGGAACCAGGACACAGGCAUUAGUCUUCUGUAACUGAGCUCUUGCCAUGUGGCUCCAUUUCUAUAUGAAAGGCCACCUAGACUCUCUCCUCUGUAGUCUUUCACUUAACUUUGUCAGCACAGAUGUUGCAAACUAGUGAUCAAAGGAAAAGUCAUGGCUUAUAUUAAGUUAUCAUUUUUAUCAUUAAAAGUAUCUAUGAAUCUAAUUUAAAAAGUUAAUUGCAGAGAUUUCCUAGCAAUAGGUUAUAAAAUGCAAUAACAGAAACUCCAGGUGUUUUAACUUUUCUCUCAUUUCUGUUUAACUUCUGAAAUUGUGAUGAUUCUGUCAGAAUAUUCCAGAAUUGUGAAUGUACCUAAUUCAUUUCCUUAGUACUAGCAUUCUAGCUUUGAGUAAGUUAUAAUUAUGGACACUUUAGUAUAGGGCAGAGACUUGUGCUCCCCGUGCAAUUCUGGCUUCCAUUUCUGGCUCACUGCCACUCUCUCCUGUGGCAAAGACCCAGAAGCCUGGGAACAGGAGAAAUACACUAUCAGUUCUCAUCACACCGACCUGGCUUUUUGCCACUUUCAACUGAGAACACCUGAAAAAUAACAACCAGGUUAGCUGCCAUUUUAUUGACCUGGGGAAAAGGAGAAAGCCAAAUGGGCAUAGUAUUCCUGAUUUAGACUGAAUUCAGUUCAAUCCAUCAGAUUUUUGAAAGCACACUCUGUGACUGGCACAAAGCACACAGAAAUGAAAAAGGAUUUGUUUCAGAUGAGGCAGAGGCUUAUAAUAUAUUAUGAUAGGGAACUUUCAGUUGUAUGUACAAGUUAAGCAGUAGUUUUGGGGAGGCCUUUAUCCACUCAAUGACAGGAUCUGCGUUAGACCUCUCAGCCCCUCUUUAAUGGUAGAACAUGGCAUGAGACUCUAAGUGCUCUCUGCAGCUCCAUGGGGGGAGAACUGGUGGGAAGUGGUGGACUGUUCUAACAGUCUUGCACUCUUGUGACUGACAGCCAAUAUCAUUAAAGUUAAUAAAGGUCUAACUCUCUUAGGUUGUGGAUUGGCA
rnacentral:lncRNA from 12 species